rnacentral:tRNA from 1 species
GGGCCUAUAGCUCAGUUGGGAGAGCGUUCGGUUCGCAUCCGAGAGGUCGAGGGUUCGAGUCCCUUUAGGUCCACCA